AAAGACAACAGUGUGAUUCCACUUGUGUUUAUUUUAAUCGUUUUACUUCUAAUUGGUAUCGUUACUUCCGUGGUUAUGAUGUUAAAUAAAGGAAUAUGUGAUAAACUCACUAAAGUCUGUCAACAGACCAAUAAGAAAACGGAACAGAAUAAAAAAGAUGAAACUGGAGAAGAAACUGGUCUUCUUACAGUAGACAGAAAUGUCAAAGGUAA